UCGGGGAUUUAUUUAGAUAUUACAAUUAUGAGAAAGAUUACAAAGACGAUUCGAUAACCGACAAUACUACCUGCCUUAUGAGGAUCUACGCCUAACUGCAUCAUUUGAGCCGUCCUAUGAAGAUCACGCCUGACCGGAUUUACUUGCACCAUGUUGAGAAACUCUUGUAAGCCUUUCUUCCGUAAUCGCAUAAUUGUUGAAUAAAUCGCUUGCUCCGGUAAUUGAAACCUGGAUUUCCUGUACAAUCUGCAAGAAAUUGCAUAGUCUGGGAU
rnacentral:lncRNA from 1 species